AACGAACGCUGGCGGCGUGCCUAACACAUGCAAGUCGAGCGAGAAAGUCCGCAAGGAUGAGUAAAGCGGCGCACGGGUGCGUAACACGUGGGUAAUCUUCCUUGGAGCUCGGAAUAACUCCCCGAAAGGGGUGCUAAUGCCGGAUAAGACCACGGGAUCCCCGGAUCCUGAGGGAAAAGGCGGCCUCUGUACACAAGCUGUCACUCCAAGAUGAGCCCGCGGCCCAUCAGCUAGUUGGCGGGGUAAUGGCCCACCAAGGCUACGACGGGUAGCUGGUCUGAGAGGACGAUCAGCCACACUGGAACUGAGACACGGUCCAGACUCCUACGGGAGGCAGCAGUGGGGAAUCUUGCGCAAUGGGCGAAAGCCUGACGCAGCAACGCCGCGUGUGUGAUGAAGGUCUUCGGAUCGUAAAGCACUGUCGGGAGGGACGAAUAAGGUGGCGGCUAACAUCCGCCGCUGAUGACGGUACCUCCAAAGGAAGCACCGGCUAACUCUGUGCCAGCAGCCGCGGUAAUACAGAGGGUGCUAGCGUUGUUCGGAAUUAUUGGGCGUAAAGCGCGUGUAGGCGGCCAGGCAAGUUGGGUGUGAAAGCCCUCGGCUUAACCGAGGAAGUGCGCCCAAAACUACCUGGCUUGAGUACCGGAGAGGGUGGCGGAAUUCCCGGUGUAGAGGUGAAAUUCGUAGAUAUCGGGAGGAACACCAGUGGCGAAGGCGGCCACCUGGACGGAUACUGACGCUGAGACGCGAAAGCGUGGGGAGCAAACAGGAUUAGAUACCCUGGUAGUCCACGCUGUAAACGAUGAGCGCUAGGUGUUGUGGGUGUUGACCCCCGCAGUGCCGCAGCUAACGCAUUAAGCGCUCCGCCUGGGAAGUACGGCCGCAAGGCUA
rnacentral:rRNA from 1 species